GCAGGCGGAUUCGGGUGGCCGUGGGCCCCGCCGGCCGCCCACUAUCCCUUCCCCCGCCGUGGGCUCCGCCGGCGAUCGCCACGGCACGGGAGCACCGAGCAUGCCCGGGGCGCGGUGGCUGUCCGACCGCCGCUCGCCGGCGGCACUCGAGGAGCCACCGUCGCCUGGGUUGUUUGGCGGUUGGGCCCACUCACCUACUACGGCGUCGGCGUCAGUGGAGAGCGAAAGGGAAGCGCGGUGGUGAUGAUGCCAGGGAUGAGGAUCGUUGGCGAUAUGGUACGCUUUCUUCCUGCUUCGAUCCACCUUUUCCCCCCACUUCCAGCCAUUUCCUUUCAAUUUUAAUUUUUUGUAUGCCGGGAGUAGGUGUGCAUGGGGGCUAGAUUUUUUAAGAAAAUUUUUUGGUAGGGAUAGAUUCUGCAUCCGCCUGCUGCAUCGGUGCUUCGACCUGAGGAAAUUUAUCGACGCUGCAAAACCUUUUGGGCCGUUGGGCUUUUGAUUUCGUUGUUUGCCUUUUUUUUAUAAAAACCAAAAAAAAAAAAGCUUUUGGACACGGUUUGCAAUCUGAUCGUAGCAUGCAAGCGACCCCUGGUGUCAGUGUCAAAGUGUCACGGCGCUGUUAACAACAGUAGCGCAAGCUCUUUUCUUUCCCCCUCCUCAUCUGCAUGUUCAAGAAAUCGACCGGUGAACGGUAGAAAUGUUAAAAACUUUGAGAAAUCAAACUUGCUGAACACUAGGGAUAAUAACCACACCAAUUAGUAUCAGCCGUAGUAUCUUGUUCAUAUCUAUAUUAGCAGAACUACAACUACACUCAGAUUUGAAUUUGAAGGUCGCGUCGAACCGUCUCGAACUCGCGACCGGGAGCUCCACAGCUAGAGCGCUUGCCACACGAGCUACGUCUCGUUCCCUUAUAAUUUUUACAUGUGCAGCAGGGAGACGGUAAGUGACAUUGCUUCUAAAUUAGUACGUCCAUCUUCACAUAAGAAGUUGUAUGUUACAGACAUCUUUUUCUGGUGAACCAUGGACGGGUUUGCAAAACGAUGGGCGGCCUUUUAGAGCACGGACAGAUGCCACCUUUAACUUUGCUAGAAGAUAGAUCCUUUGUUGUGGACGGCAAUGUGACGAAUCAUCGGGCCACUCUUUUCCGUGAUCGAACCACACUUUUUAGUGUUGUUGCUGCUGGCAUGUCACGUCCCUUGGCCAUCAUCAACAAUAAUGGAGUAAUCGACCGAGACAUGACGCCACAACUACUGCUGUAGAUAUUCAGUGCAAUUUGGUAUGAAGUCUACUCAAAGCAAUGCAAUUGGUAAUGUUGGUAAUGCAGCUGAAAUGGGCUAGAUCAGUCUGACAGUGCUAGUAGCAUACAGCCUAAGUGAAACGAGAACAAGCGCACUGAGUAUUCUGCAAUAGGAUCUUUGCCUCUGUCCGGGUUUUCUACGGUCACUCCAGCCGUCUGCAUCUGCUUAUUCCCGAGUGCUGAAAAGAUUUCAAUAAAUAAGGGCUGUUUGGAUUUUCUCAUUUUGGAGGAAUUGAAAUCUACUUAAUAAAUUUGGUUAUUUUGUUUAGAAUUUGACGUCCCACCACUUUCCAACCACGUUCCAAAGUUUGGAUAUAAGCAUAUCCUAAAUUCAUAGGAGGAAGAUGGAAAUUGAUUUUAUACACCACCAAAUAACUAUGUUUCUAUUCCGUAUUCCGUAACCUAUACCAUGCUUUUUGACUCGCUCCUCUACAGUAGAAAUAUAGCACAUAAAUAUCUCCCUCGUAUGCCAACAAUAGUAUACAAAUAUAUUCCGUAUAUAAUCAUGUUAGCUUAAUAGAUUUGUGUCUAAAUUAUAAUUUUUAGAAUGGAAUUCAAUUCCAAGAUUCCAAACGGGUCUCGAUGAAUUUCGCCAGAAAAAGCUCAUCAAAGCCCAAAAGUAUGGGUGAGUUGAGCAAGGAAUGUACAAAUGAUAUAGGGUGUUAUUACCGAUGUACAAAAUCAUAUUAACUUUUUUUUGUCCUGCAUUUGCUACUUCCAUCGAGCUUUACAGUGUCCGAUGCUUUUAGAGAACAUAUCUAGCACCUUUUACGUUUUCAGUCGAAUCUUGCUUUCUGACAGGUUUUCCUAUGAUUACAAGUCACAUACGCUUCCCAUUAUGUGAAGUUUACUGCGAGAAAUUGGAAGAAACCAAAUGCCCUGUCCAGUCAGCUGGGAGUCGUGCUUCAAGAUGCACCGCUGUCACAAGCAUGUCGAGCUCAGUUUCGAAAGAUGAAUCAUGAAGUGUGAUUUCUCCGGGAGAGAGGUGCAACAGAUGGAAUGGUUUGAGCCCUUCCGUAAUGGAGUCGGCCACUGUCUUGGGCCGCUGAUGCAUUAAAACUACAAGUUGGUGGCCUUGGAACUGCCGGUCAUAGUUUUCACUAAUUGGUCAUACUGUAAUACAAUUCUUCCGGAACAGUUUCAAUCAAGGGACGUGCAGAUAAUAAUGAAAAGUUCAUUAGCACACACCUUCAUGCAAAGAUGGAUUCUAGAUAAGGCCUGGCCCCUUGGGGAAGAAUAAAAACAGUAGAAGAGAGUCCCGGAGCAAUUCUCUA
rnacentral:lncRNA from 1 species